GAUGAACGCUGGCGGCGUGCCUAAUACAUGCAAGUCGAGCGAACAGACGAGGAGCUUGCUCCUCUGACGUUAGCGGCGGACGGGUGAGUAACACGUGGAUAACCUACCUAUAAGACUGGGAUAACUUCGGGUAACCGGAGCUAAUACCGGAUAAUAUAUUGAACCGCAUGGUUCAAUAGUGAAAGACGGUUUUGCUGUCACUUAUAGAUGGAUCCGCGCCGCAUUAGCUAGUUGGUAAGGUAACGGCUUACCAAGGCGACGAUGCGUAGCCGACCUGAGAGGGUGAUCGGCCACACUGGAACUGAGACACGGUCCAGACUCCUACGGGAGGCAGCAGUAGGGAAUCUUCCGCAAUGGGCGAAAGCCUGACGGAGCAACGCCGCGUGAGUGAUGAAGGUCUUCGGAUCGUAAAACUCUGUUAUUAGGGAAGAACAAAUGUGUAAGUAACUAUGCACGUCUUGACGGUACCUAAUCAGAAAGCCACGGCUAACUACGUG
rnacentral:rRNA from 1 species